NNNNNNNNNNNNGAUCUGGCUGCGACAUCUGUCACCCCACUGAUCGCCAGGUUUGAUUCGGCUGAUCUGGCUGGCUAGGCGGUUGUCCCCUUCCUCCCUCACCUCUCCAUGUGUGCCCCUCCUGAAGCUGCGUGCUUGGUUGAAGAGGACGGCCUUUCCUGAAUAGAGACGGACCAGUGUUUGGUCUAGGGUAUACGAGCUAGAACCUGCUAGAACCUCCAAACAAGCUCUCAAAUUGUAACUAUCGUCCCAAGUCAUAUCAAGGCUCAAGUAGGUUAGAAGGCUUCUGGAUCCAUAAUACUUGGGUUGCAUGGUACUUGGAUGUCCCAGUGUAU
ensembl:misc_RNA 7SK 7SK RNA